UACGUAGGGUGCGAGCGUUAAUCGGAAUUACUGGGCGUAAAGCGUGCGCAGGCGGUUUUGUAAGCCAGAUGUGAAAUCCCCGGGCUUAACCUGGGAAUGGCAUUUGGGACUGCAAGGCUCGAGUGCGGCAGAGGAGACUGGAAUUCCUGGUGUAGCAGUGAAAUGCGCAGAUAUCAGGAAGAACACCUAUGGCGAAGGCAGCUCUCUGGGACGGUACUGACGCUGAGACGCGAAAGCGUGGGGAGCGAACAGG
rnacentral:rRNA from 1 species